rnacentral:rRNA from 1 species
AGUUUAACGGCCGCGGUACUCUGACCGUGCGAAGGUAGCAUAAUCACUUGUUCUUUAAAUGGGGACUCGUAUCAAUGGCAUCACGAGGGCCAUACUGUCUCCUUUUUCUAAUCAGUGAAACUGAUCUUCCCGUGAAGAAGCGGGAAUAUAUAUAUAAGACGAGAAGACCCCAUGGAGCUUUAAACCCAACAGCAACCCUAAUAAUCAAGCCACAAAAAUUAACGAGAUUAUGCUUGUUGGUUUUAGGUUGGGGUGACCGCGGAGUAUAGACUAACCUCCACGACGAACGGGACUAAACCCUUACCCGAGAACCACUGUUCUAAGAAUCAACAUAUUGACUUCUAAUGAUCCGACCAAUCGAUUAACGGACCAAGUUACCCUGGGGAUAACAGCGCUAUCCAUUUCGAGAGCUCCUAUCGACAAAUGGGUUUACGACCUCGAUGUUGGAUCAGGGUAUCCCAGUGGUGCAGCCGCUACUAAUGGUUUGUUUGUUCAACAAUUAAAACCCUACGUGAUCUGAGUCCAGACCGGA